rnacentral:rRNA from 1 species
UGCCAGCCGCCGCGGUAAUACGAAGGGUGCUAGCGUUGUUCGGAAUUACUGGGCGUAAAGAGCAUGUAGGCGGUUCGUUAAGUCUGAUGUGAAAGCCCGGGGCUCAACCCCGGAAGUGCAUUGGAAACUGGCGAACUUGAGUACGGGAGAGGAAAGUGGAAUUCCGAGUGUAGGGGUGAAAUCCGUAGAUAUUCGGAGGAACACCAGUGGCGAAGGCGGCUUUCUGGCCCAAAACUGACGCUGAGGUGCGAAAGCGUGGGUAGCGAACAGGAUUAGAUA